rnacentral:lncRNA from 1 species
UCGGCUAUAGAUACACAUCUACACUACUCAGUUUAUUUUUUAUUUAUUUUUUAUUUUUUUAUUUGAAUAUAUUAUAAGAGUAAGUUCUAUCUGCUUAUAAUCUUUUUGUUAACUUUAAAUUUAUCUAAAUUAAGUAUGUUGUAAAAUAAAUAUUAAUUUUUUUUAUAAAUUAACUUCAGUCUUGGGUAAUAAUCAUUUUUAAAUUAUUUCACUACAAUAAGAGGAUUUGGUUAAU